rnacentral:rRNA from 1 species
UCCUGGCUCAGGAUGAACGCUAGCGACAGGCUAACACAUGCAAGUCGAGGGGCAGCAUAGAAGUAGCAAUACUUGGUGGCGACCGGCGCACGGGUGAGUAACGCGUAUGCAACCUACCUAUCAGAGGGGAAUAACCCGGCGAAAGUCGGACUAAUACCGCAUAAAACAGGGGCACCGCAUGGUGAUAUUUGUUAAAGAAAUUCGCUGAUAGAUGGGCAUGCGUUCCAUUAGGUAGUUGGUGAGGUAACGGCUCACCAAGCCGACGAUGGAUAGGGGAACUGAGAGGUUGGUCCCCCACACUGGUACUGAGACACGGACCAGACUCCUACGGGAGGCAGCAGUGAGGAAUAUUGGUCAAUGGGCGGGAGCCUGAACCAGCCAAGUCGCGUGAAGGAAGAAGGAUCUAUGGUUCGUAAACUUCUUUUGCAGGGGAAUAAAGUGCAGGACGUGUCCUGUUUUGUAUGUACCCUGAGAAUAAGGAUCGGCUAACUCCGUGCCAGCCGCCGC